GACGAACCGUGCAAACGUUGUUCGGAUUCACUGGGCGUAAAGGGUGCGUAGGCGGCGCGGUAAGUCGGGUGUGAAAUCUUGGAGCUUAACUCCGAAACUGCAUUCGAUACUGCCGUGCUUGAGGACUGGAGAGGAGACUGGAAUUUACGGUGUAGCGGUGAAAUGCGUAGAUAUCGUAAGGAAGACCAGUGGCGAAGGCGGGUCUCUGGACAGUUCCUGACGCUGAGGCACGAAGGUCAGGGGAGCAAACGGG
rnacentral:rRNA from 1 species